UUCUAAUUGACAGUAUACACUUGUUCACAAAACGUGCUAUUUGUCCAAUUUACCGAGUAUUUCACCCACCGUUUGAACUUGUCAACAAACACACACACUUCCUGUUGGAUUACACGGAGCCGAUCCAUGUUCCUUUGAUGGAACUCUGCAUUACUCGUGGGAUUUUGCACAGACUGUGCAUUAUCCACACCAUGCAAGACAGGCCGGCCCUAUCUACUUUGCGUCGCCAAGGGAACAGGAAAUCAAACGUUCUACCUGAUUGAUGAGGCAGAGCUGCCUGGAAAGGGUGAGGCCUGUAUCAUAAGCUUAGUGCACCUUUAUUUCAAGCACUAUGGUUAUGGAGAGAAGAACGCACAGGCCUUCAUGAAUCCAUCAGCAUCAACACCAUGCUAGCAGGCCACACAAAGUUUGCUCCUGACUGGCAUUUUGGUGUUUGGUUUGUCAAGUGAAGUGGAGGGCGAGUGAUGCAGAGAAAAUUCAAGACAUUACUACAACCGUACGAUCAUCAUAACGGUCGGGUCACAACAUUCCGCAUCUCGUGUCUGACAUGGAGAGUCUGGUCAAAUUCUUAGAGUGGCGGUCACACCUUGAAGCCUAGUUAAGGAACAUAAAAAGCAUAACUAAAUAGCGCAAUUUCUUUGUUUCCAAAGAUGACCACGGUGUUUUGCAUUGUAAGGAGUAUGCUGACUCUACCAAGGAGUGUUUUGAUCUUUUGUAGUGUGCAAUACAUAAGAAUGCCAUGCCUCCACUUAAGACCAUUCCAGUGCUCCCUUUAGCAAGACAGUGGUACUUGUAUGAUCACAUUUCCAAAUUUUUCAGGUCUGAGUCAGCAAAAGAGAAAACAUGUCCCAAACCUCUUAUUCCAAAGUAAUUGUUUAUUUGGAAUGUACAGUUUUGAAAAAUUGCUGACAAUUAUUGCAUUAAUAAAUGUUUUAUAUAGGGAGUUGUGUGCAGUAAAGCAUUAUUACGUGUAUAUUUGCAUGUAUUGUUGAUUUGCCUGCAAUAAAUGGUUAAUUCUGACAAUAUUGCAUUAUGAUGUCAUUAUUUUUUAAUUAACAUGCAUUUCAAGUAUAGCCCAUGUUGUGUGAUUUUUGUUUAUAAAACAAAUAUUUAAAAACCUGGUUCAUGUUUGGAAAUAAUCAAAUAGUGAUACAUUGCAUUGUUUCUAAUUUGUUAGAUUCUUUAAUAACCAUGUACAUUGUUAGAACCUCUUCUUUUUAUGAAUAAGUUAUUCAUUUGGUCCAUACUUAUAUAACUAUGUAAUUUGAUUACAUAUAUAUGAAGAUAAUAGUAUUAAUGUUAUUUUAACUGAAAUAAAGUAAUACACAUUGACUUUGCAAUAUUUUUUUUGCAUUUGUCAUGUAUCAAUGUAAGAACAGGGUACAAUUUGAACGUUACUAAUGUUGAACCAGCCUUUAUUUGAAGGCACAUUUUUAUAUUUUACAAUGUUAAAGACAAAUGGUUACCAUGAUGACCAGUUUUUUGCUUCAAAUUAUUAAAAGCUUUCAGUGGACUGGUUGUAUGGAUUUUGUGUAUUGACAUGUACUUUGUAUGCGAUAACAGUAUUUCACAUUAAGUAUUUCCGGUUUACAUUAAUAAGUUUUGGAAUGUCAAUAAUUAAAACAACUCAGUUCAUUUGUUUAAUUGUAUGCAUUUUCACAUAUAUUAAAAAUUGUGUACACAUUUCCUAUAAUUAUUCAUCAAGAUUUAUUUAACAAAUUUUAAGUAAUACAUGUAUGUUUAAAACAUAAAACAAAAAUUAAUUUGAGGAUAAAAUACCAACAUUCAAAUAAUGGUACCCAUGGAUACCAUUUUAAAUUAAAAAAAGAUGCUUUUAACAAACAAUGUGUUUAUAUUUUAACAUGUGUUUAUAUGAAAACUUGUUUAAACUAUUUUACUUGUGUAUUCUUUUACUUGAAUAAUGCUUAAAAUGAGUAGUAUGUGAGCAAAUAAGUAAGUUUAAGGGAAUGGCGUUUGGAAAGGUGUAAUUGUAAAAAAGCGAACUCGGCCUUUAAAUUAAUACAAUUAUUACCGGUACGUAUUGUUGCCUAA